rnacentral:rRNA from 1 species
UACGUAGGGGGCAAGCGUUGUCCGGAAUCAUUGGGCGUAAAGCGCGUGUAGGCGGCCCGAUAAGUCUGCUGUGAAAGUCAACGGCUCAACCGUUGAAAGCCGGUGGAUACUGUCGGGCUAGAGUACGGAAGAGGCAAGUGGAAUUCCUGGUGUAGCGGUGGAAUGCGCAGAUAUCAGGAGGAACACCUAUAGCGAAGGCAGCUUGCUGGGACGUUACUGACGCUAAGGCGCGAAAGCGUGGGGAGCGAACAGG